CGCGGACAAAGCUCCGGACACCCCGAUCCAAUAGUCACCACCCCCUGACCCCGGCCGGCCUGGCCCCGAGACCCGUACCUCGGCAUACCGGCCCGGGUCCUAGGACUGAAUUGUUCCUGGACAGACGGCCAUGGUCACAUUCAAGGGUUUAUUUAGCAGAUAGGGGUCAAGUGCCUGGCAAUGGAUUGGAUAAUAACAGUGGCAAUGAUGGCUAAUGCGUGGCUUCUGAAGGAGCCUCAGUCCUUUUUUAGCUCUUUGGUUUGCAUCACACUCCAAAUGAAGACUCCCACCCCCCAUGUUCCUGGCUCAGAAGGAUGUCUUCGUUUCCAGGCCCAACAGUGGUAUCCAUACACUGGAGCCUUUGCCUGAGUCUCUGGGCUGAAGUUGAGGAGUCCAUGAGCUCUGCAAAGCUUAGGAUGUACCACUUACAGGAUGGUCUUGGAUGGAGACCCUGUAUC